CGGACGGGUGAGUAACGCGUGGAUAACCUGCCUCACACAGGGGGAUAACAGUUAGAAAUGACUGCUAAUACCGCAUAAGCGCACGGUACCGCAUGGUACAGUGUGAAAAACUCCGGUGGUGUGAGAUGGAUCCGCGUCUGAUUAGGUAGUUGGUGAGGUAACGGCCUACCAAGCCGACGAUCAGUAGCCGACCUGAGAGGGUGACCGGCCACAUUGGGACUGAGACACGGUCCAA
rnacentral:rRNA from 1 species